UCUGCUCCUAGAGUUGUUGCAGGUGUGACUGCUGCAUCAUAUGUGGGUCAGUAGGUGGCAGAGAGGGGAGAGGCUAUGUCUAUGCUCAGCCUUCAGUGUUCUGACCUGUGACUAUCAAAAUGUUUACUAACUAGCCUAGUGGG
ensembl:snoRNA Gm23703 predicted gene, 23703